rnacentral:rRNA from 1 species
UACAGAGGUCCCGAGCGUUGUUCGGAUUCACUGGGCGUAAAGGGUGCGUAGGCGGUCGGGUAAGUCUGAUGUGAAAUCUCACAGCUUAACUGUGAAACUGCAUUGGAUACUAUUCGGCUUGAGGUCUGGAGGGGGGACUGGAAUUCUCGGUGUAGCAGUGAAAUGCGUAGAUAUCAAGUGGAACACCAGUGGCGAAGGCGAGUCCCUGGACAACUCCUGACACUGAGGCACGAAAGCUAGGGGAGCAAACAGG